GCCCCGCUCCGGGCUCAUGAAUAUGAAGCGACGCUUUACAUAUGCGGUCCCCCCGGGCCGGGGGCGCGGCGGAUUGUGGAGAAAGCAACUCAUUCCGUACGCGUUAAGGGAGCGUUUACCUGGCAAAACCGGCGCUCAGCUCCAUUUCUGACCUGCGCGGCCGCAUCGGGCAGCGCGCGCAGACAGCUUUAGCUAACAGAAAGAAGAGCUCCAGAACCGAUCAAUUUCUUCCCCAGCUGCGCAGGGAGCGGCGAGGGGACUGCCUGCUUCAUUUUAACAAGCUCAACCGCUUAGGAAAAUCUUUUAUUUACGACUGCAGCCCUAUGUGAUGCAAACUGCAAUCUUUGAGAUCAAAACAUACCGGUGCAGACCCUCAGAAAGCGUUAAUUCCAUUCACCAAUGGGAACAAAAAUGCCCUCGCACAGCAUUUCACCAAAUGAACGUGGCUGCAGAAGCCAAGUCUGAAAUACGUAAGUUCAACAGAUGUGUUUGUAUGUGCUCACAGCAGAGAGAUGCCGGCAUUCUGUGCCUAACCUUAUGUAAAGGCUGGGCCUGUGGUAUAAAUGCAUGCGAGCUUUGGAAUUGGAGCCUGCAUAACAGAACUGCAGCUCUGACUACCGUAUAAAAGCAGGUAGUAAAAGCUUAAUUACCAGUAGCAUUAUGCUGUCUAUAUUGUUAAAUGUGAACUCUAUAAUUAAGAUGUAAAUUCACGUGUGAGCAGUGAAUUAGAGAGCUCUGAAAUAUAGAGGAAAAUCCAACCACGCUGUAGAAACAUCAGCCUUAAAUAAAUAAAUAAAAAUGAAAAUCAGUUUUUAUUAAAUUUUAGAAUGAGGCAUUUAAUCAUGUCACAGUAUUAGGAUGCUCUCUGAGGAACAAUUGGAUAAAUGUGGGUUUUGGAAUCAAAUCAAAACUGAAAUAAGACAUGUUUAUUCUAUGUAUCGGCACCUCUGUAGUAUACAAACCAAAAUACAGUUCCUAUAAAUUGAUUUUCAUGUGCCCUUUGGCAAGCUAUGAAAAUAGAAUUGUAUUGUCCAUUUACAGAUUCAUAUUCAAAAAUGCUAUUUUUCAAUUUUAUACUAAAAUACUUCCAAAUCA